UACAGAGGUCUCAAGCGUUUGUUCGGAUUCAUUGGGCGUAAAGCGUCUGUAGGUGGCUUUUUAAGUCCGCCGUCAAAUCCCAGGGCUCAACUCUGGACAGGCGGUGGAAACUACCAAGCUUGAGUACGGUAGGGGGCAGAGGGAAUUUCCGGAUGGAGCGGUGAAAUGCGUAGAGAUCGGAAAGAACACCAACGGCGAAAGCACUCUGCUGGGCCGACACUGACACUGAGAGACGAAAGCUAGGGGAGCGAAUGGG
rnacentral:rRNA from 1 species